UGGGGAAUCUUCCGCAAUGGACGAAAGUCUGACGGAGCAACGCCGCGUGAGUGAAGACGGCCUUCGGGUUGUAAAGCUCUGUUAUUCGGGAAGAAAGAGCCGCUUGUAAAUAAUGAGCGGAAGUGACGGUACCGAAAGAGAAAGCCACGGCUAACUACGUGCCAGCAGCCGCGGUAAUACGUAGGUGGCAAGCGUUGUCCGGAAUUGUUGGGCGUAAAGAGCGCGUAGGCGGUCAUGCAAGUCAAUCUUAAAAGUGCGGGGCUUAACCCCGUGAUGGGAUUGAAACUGUAUGACUUGAGUAUCGGAGAGGAAAGUAGAAUUCCUAGUGUAGCGGUGGAAUGCGUAGAGAUUAGGAAGAAUACCGGUGGCGAAGGCGACUUUCUGGACGAAGACUGACGCUGAGGCGCGAAAGCGUGGGGAGCAAACAGG
rnacentral:rRNA from 1 species